rnacentral:rRNA from 1 species
UACGUAGGGGGCAAGCGUUGUCCGGAUUUAUUGGGCGUAAAGAGCUCGUAGGCGGUUUGGUAAGUCUGGUGUGAAAUCUCCACGCUCAACGUGGAGGGGCCACCCGAUACUGCCAUGACUGGAGUCCGGUAGAGGAGUGUGGAAUUCCCGGUGUAGCGGUGAAAUGCGCAGAUAUCGGGAAGAACACCCGUGGCGAAGGCGGUUCUCUGGGACGGUACUGACGCUGAGACGCGAAAGCGUGGGGAGCGAACAGG